rnacentral:rRNA from 1 species
GUAGGUGGCAAGCGUUUGUCCGGAAUUAUUGGGCGUAAAGCGCGCGCAGGCGGUCCUUUAAGUCUGAUGUGAAAGCCCACGGCUCAACCGUGGAGGGUCAUUGGAAACUGGGGGACUUGAGUACAGAAGAGGAAAGCGGAAUUCCACGUGUAGCGGUGAAAUGCGUAGAGAUGUGGAGGAACACCAGUGGCGAAGGCGGCUUUCUGGUCUGUAACUGACGCUGGCGCGAAAGCGUGGGGAGCAAACAGGAUUAGAUACCCUGGUAGUCCACGCCGUAAACGAUGAGUGCUAAGUGUUAGGGGUUUCCCGCCCCCUUAGUGCUGCAGCUAACGCAUUAAGCACUCCGCCUGGGGAGUACGGCCGCAAGGCUG